AAAAACUAGAAAUAAUGAAGCUUACUGAGGAAGGCCAAGUUCAAUCAAAAGACGAAAUGAGCCAAAAGCUAGGCCUCUUGUAGCAAACAUUUAUCCAAGUUGUUAAUGCAAAGGAAAAGUUCGUGAAGGAAAUUUAAAGUGCUAUUCUACUGAACUCAUGAAUGAUGAGAAAGAAAACUGCCUUAUUGCUGACAUGGAGAAAGUUUGAGUAG